rnacentral:rRNA from 1 species
UACGUAGGGACCAAGCGUUGUUCGGAUUUACUGGGCGUAAAGGGCGCGUAGGCGGCAAUUCAAGUCAGUUGUGAAAUCUCCGAGCUUAACUCGGAACGGUCAACUGAUACUGUUUUGCUAGAGUACAGAGGGGGCAAUCGGAAUUCUUGGUGUAGCGGUGAAAUGCGUAGAUAUCAAGAGGAACACCUGAGGUGAAGACGGGUUGCUGGGCUGAUACUGACGCUGAGGCGCGAAAGCUAGGGUAGCAAGCGGG